UGGGGAAUUUUGGACAAUGGGCGCAAGCCCGAUCCAGCAAUGCCGCGUGCAGGAUGAAGGCCUUCGGGUUGUAAACUGCUUUUGUACGGAAAGAAAAGCUCUCGGUUAAUAGUCGAGGGUCCUGACGGUACCGUAAGAAUAAGCACCGGCUAACUACGUGCCAGCAGCCGCGGUAAUACGUAGGGUGCAAGCGUUAAUCGGAAUUACUGGGCGUAAAGCGUGCGCAGGCGGUGAUGUAAGACAGGUGUGAAAUCCCCGGGCUUAACCUGGGAAUUGCAUUUGUGACUGCAUCGCUGGAGUGCGGCAGAGGGGGAUGGAAUUCCGCGUGUAGCAGUGAAAUGCGUAGAUAUGCGGAGGAACACCGAUGGCGAAGGCAGUCCCCUGGGCCUGUACUGACGCUCAUGCACGAAAGCGUGGGGAGCAAACA
rnacentral:rRNA from 1 species